GAUGAACGCUAGCUACAGGCUUAACACAUGCAAGUCGAGGGGCAGCAUUUCAGUUUGCUUGCAAACUGGAGAUGGCGACCGGCGCACGGGUGAGUAACACGUAUCCAACCUGCCGAUAACUCGGGGAUAGCCUUUCGAAAGAAAGAUUAAUACCCGAUGGCAUAAUUAGACCGCAUGGUCUUAUUAUUAAAGAAUUUCGGUUAUCGAUGGGGAUGCGUUCCAUUAGGCAGUUGGUGAGGUAACGGCUCACCAAACCUUCGAUGGAUAGGGGUUCUGAGAGGAAGGUCCCCCACAUUGGAACUGAGACACGGUCCAAACUCCUACGGGAGGCAGCAGUGAGGAAUAUUGGUCAAUGGGCGCAGGCCUGAACCAGCCAAGUAGCGUGAAGGAUGACUGCCCUAUGGGUUGUAAACUUCUUUUAUAUGGGAAUAAAGUUUUCCACGUGUGGAAUUUUGUAUGUACCAUAUGAAUAAGGAUCGGCUAACUCCGUGCCAGCAGCCGCGGUAAUACGGAGGAUCCGAGCGUUAUCCGGAUUUAUUGGGUUUAAAGGGAGCGUAGGUGGACAGUUAAGUCAGUUGUGAAAGUUUGCGGCUCAACCGUAAAAUUGCAGUUGAUACUGGCUGUCUUGAGUACAGUAGAGGUGGGCGAAAUUCGUGGUGUAGCGGUGAAAUGCUUAGAAAUCACGAAGAACUCCGAUUGCGAAGGCAGCUCACUGGACUGCAACUGACACUGAUGCUCGAAAGUGUGGGUAUCAAACAGGAUUAGAUACCCUGGUAGUCCACACAGUAAACGAUGAAUACUCGCUGUUUGCGAUAUACAGUAAGCGGCCAAGCGAAAGCAUUAAGUAUUCCACCUGGGGAGUACGCCGGCAACGGUGAAACUCAAAGGAAUUGACGGGGGCCCGCACAAGCGGAGGAACAUGUGGUUUAAUUCGAUGAUACGCGAGGAACCUUACCCGGGCUUAAAUUGCAUUUGAAUAUAUUGGAAACAGUAUAGCCGUAAGGCAAAUGUGAAGGUGCUGCAUGGUUGUCGUCAGCUCGUGCCGUGAGGUGUCGGCUUAAGUGCCAUAACGAGCGCAACCCUUAUCUUUAGUUACUAACAGGUCAUGCUGAGGACUCUAGAGAGACUGCCGUCGUAAGAUGUGAGGAAGGUGGGGAUGACGUCAAAUCAGCACGGCCCUUACGUCCGGGGCUACACACGUGUUACAAUGGGGGGUACAGAAGGCAGCUACCUGGUGACAGGAUGCUAAUCCCAAAAGCCUCUCUCAGUUCGGAUCGAAGUCUGCAACCCGACUUCGUGAAGCUGGAUUCGCUAGUAAUCGCGCAUCAGCCAUGGCGCGGUGAAUACGUUCCCGGGCCU
rnacentral:rRNA from 1 species